CACGUAGGGCGCAAGCGUUGUCCGGAAUUAUUGGGCGUAAAGAGCUCGUAGGCGGUCUGUUGCGUCCGCUGUGAAAACUCGGGGCUUAACCCCGAGCCUGCAGUGGAUACGGGCAGACUAGAGGUAGGUAGGGGAGAAUGGAAUUCCCGGUGUAGCGGUGAAAUGCGCAGAUAUCUGGAGGAAUACCGGUGGCGAAGGCGGCAUCCUGGACCGGCAUUGACGCUGAUGAGCGAAAGCUAGGGGAGCAAACGGGG
rnacentral:rRNA from 1 species